rnacentral:rRNA from 1 species
AACGUAGGAGACAAACGUUAUCCGGAUUUACUGGGCGUAAAGCGCGUUCAGGCGGUCUGGCAAGUCGGGCAUGAAAUCUCUCGGCUCAACCGGGAGGGGUUGUCCGAUACUGCUGGACUUGAGGGCAGGAGAGGGUGGUGGAAUUCCGGGUGUAGUGGUGAAAUGCGUAGAGAUCCGGAGGAACACCAGUGGCGAAGGCGGCCACCUGGCCUGCACCUGACGCUGAAACGCGAAAGCUAGGGGAGCGAACGGG